rnacentral:rRNA from 1 species
UACGGAGGAGGCAAGCGUUAUCCGGAAUUAUUGGGCGUAAAGCGUCCGCAGGUGGCACUUCAAGUCUGUCGUCAAAGACUGGGGCUUAACCCUGGAAAGGCGGUGGAAACUGAAGCGCUAGAGUGCGGUAGGGGUAGAGGGAAUUCCCGGUGUAGCGGCGAAAUGCGUAGAGAUCCGGAAGAACAUCGGUGGCGAAAGCGCUCUACUGGACCGCAACUGACACUCAGGGACGAAAGCUAGGGGAGCGAAUGGG